rnacentral:rRNA from 1 species
GAUGAACGCUAGCGGCAGGCCUAAUACAUGCAAGUCGAGGGGUAGAAGAGGCUUGCUUCUUUGAGACCGGCGCACGGGUGCGUAACGCGUAUGCAACCUACCUUCAUCUGGGAGAUAGCCCGGAGAAAUCCGGAUUAAUACCGCAUAAAAUCACAGGAUGGCAUUAUCCAAUGAUCAAACAUUUAUGGGAUGGAGAUGGGCAUGCGUGUCAUUAGCUAGUUGGCGGGGUAACGGCCCACCAAGGCGACGAUGACUAGGGGAUCUGAGAGGAUGGCCCCCCACACUGGUACUGAGACACGGACCAGACUCCUACGGGAAGCAGCAGUAAGGAAUAUUGGUCAAUGGAGGCAACUCUGAACCAGCCAUGCCGCGUGCAGGAAGACUGCCCUAUGGGUUGUAAACUGCUUUUAUUCGGGAAUAAACCUUAUUACGUGUAAUAAGCUGAAUGUACCGAAGGAAUAAGGAUCGGCUAACUCCGUGCCAGCCGCCGCCGUAA